UACGUAGGGUGCGAGCGUUGUCCGGAAUUACUGGGCGUAAAGAGCUCGUAGGCGGUUUGUCGCGUCUGCUGUGAAAACCCGAGGCUCAACCUCGGGCCUGCAGUGGGUACGGGGCAGACUAGAGUGAUGUAGGGGGAGACUGGAAUUCCUGGUGUAGCGGUGAAAUGCGCAGAUAUCAGGAGGAACACCGAUGGCGAAGGCAGGUCUCUGGGCAUUAACUAACGCUGAGGAGCGAAAAGCAUGGGGGAGCGAACAGG
rnacentral:rRNA from 1 species